rnacentral:rRNA from 1 species
UACGUAGGGUGCGAGCGUUGUCCGGAAUUAUUGGGCGUAAAGAGCUUGUAGGCGGUUUGUCGCGUCUGCUGUGAAAAUCCGGGGCUCAACCCCGGACUUGCAGUGGGUACGGGCAGACUAGAGUGUGGUAGGGGAGACUGGAAUUCCUGGUGUAGCGGUGAAAUGCGCAGAUAUCAGGAGGAACACCGAUGGCGAAGGCAGGUCUCUGGGCCACUACUGACGCUGAGAAGCGAAAGCAUGGGGAGCGAACAGGAUUAGAUACCCG